rnacentral:misc_RNA from 1 species
UCCGGUUUGUCACCGGCAGUCUCAUUAGAGUGCUCUUUCGUAGCAACUAAUGACAAGGGUUGCGCUCGUUGCGGGACUUAACCCAACAUCUCACGACACGAGCUGACGACAGCCAUGCAGCACCUGUGUAAUGGCUCCCUUUCGGGCACUCCCAAAUCUCUCCGGGAUUCCAUCCAUGUCAAGGGCUGGUAAGGUUCUUCGCGUUGCCUCGAAUUAAACCACAUGCUCCACCGCUUGUGCGGGCCCC